UGUCUCUUCAGAGGUGUGACCUCACAUUGC
rnacentral:piRNA from 1 species